AGUAACACGUGGGGAACCUGCCCCUAAGUCUGGGAUACCAUUUGGAAACAGGUGCUAAUACCGGAUAAUAAAGCAGAUCGCAUGAUCAGCUUUGAAAGGCGGCGUAAGCUGUCGCUAAGGGAUGGCCCCGCGGUGCAUUAGCUAGUUGGUAAGGUAACGGCUUACCAAGGCGACGAUGCAUAGCCGAGUUGAGAGACUGAUCGGCCACAUUGGGACUGAGACACGGCCCAAACUCCUACGGGAGGCAGCAGCG
rnacentral:rRNA from 1 species